UUAGGCAUAUUACUAAGGGGAGGAAAAGAAACUAACAAGGAUUCCCUCAGUAGCGGCGAGCGAACAGGGAAGAGCCCAUCGCUGAAUCCCCCAGGCUUGUGGCUUGGCGGGAAAUGUAGCGUUAAGGCGGGUCCAAUUCACCCGGUAGGCAGGAGUGCAGUUCAAGUUCACCUUGAACGGGGCCACAAAGAGGGUGACAGGCCCGUAGAACGCACUUUUAAAAUCUGUCCCGGGAGGGCCUCGCCUGAGAGUCGGUUUGCUUGAGAGUGCAGACCUAAGUGGGUGGUAAACUCCAUCUAAGGCUAAAUACGACCACGAGACCGAUAGCACACAAGUACCGUGAGGGAAAGGUGAAAAGAACUUUGAAGAGAGAGUUAAAGAGUACGUGAAACUGAAGUGGUGUAAACGGAAGAGACCGAAAAGUCCGACCGGGGACAUUCAGGCCCACCGGGCAAGAAGUAGGUGUCAGGCGCGGACGGUGCGGAACAGCCAGGCCUCUCGGGGUACUGGCUUGACCGUAUUCGCCCGCCUGCCCUGCGAAUUUUAUCUUGCUCCGGAGAGCGCUGCACUUGUCCCCAAGUAGGACGUCGCAACUCGUUGGUGGCGGCCGGUUAAGCCCUGAGGUUUGCCUUCGACCACGUCCGGGCGCUUGUGCUCUUCGGAGCCUUGUUGUUGCGGACGGGGGCCCUCUUAGGUGACCCGGCCGCUUUUUUCCGACGGUAGUAAAGCUUGGGCUAAGGACCGCGCGAUUUUAAAAAGCACCAGUCGCGUCCCCGUGAAUGCUGUUACGGCGUUCAAGUUCGGGACAGGUCCGCCCUCGGUUAGCGGCGCUACUGCUUUCGGUACUUUUCCGACCCGUCUUGAAACACGGACCAAGGAGUCUAACAUGUGCGCGAGUCAUUGGGUUAUGAUAUUAUUAUAACUAAACCUAAAGGCGCAAUGAAAGUGAAGGCAAAAAAUUCAUUUUUUUUUUGCUUUGGGAGGAUGGCCUGUCCUGUGUUUUGGCAGGCCCGCACUCCCGGGGCGUCUCAUCCUCUUCACUGAGGAGUGGCGCACCCAGAGCGUACACGUUGGGACCCGAAAGAUGGUGAACUAUGCCUGGCCAGGACGAAGUCAGGGGAAACCCUGAUGGAGGUCCGUAGCGAUUCUGACGUGCAAAUCGAUCGUCGGAGCUGGGUAUAGGGGCGAAAGACUAAUCGAACCAUCUAGUAGCUGGUUCCCUCCGAAGUUUCCCUCAGGAUAGCUGGCGCUCAUGUUCGGAAUGAGACGAGUCUCAUCCGGUAAAGCGAAUGAUUAGAGGCCUUGGGGCCGAAACGACCUCAACCUAUUCUCAAACUUUAAAUGGGUGAGAACUCUGGCCUGCUUAAACCUUGAGGCCAGAGGUUUUUUCUAAACGGAUCAGAGUGCCAAGUGGGCCAAUUUUGGUAAGCAGAACUGGCGCUGUGGGAUGAACCAAACGCAGAGUUAAAGCGCCUAAAUCGACGCUCAUGGGAGACCAUGAAAGGCGUUGGUUGCUAUGGACAGCAGGACGGUGGCCAUGGAAGUCGGAAUCCGCUAAGGAGUGUGUAACAACUCACCUGCCGAAGCAACUAGCCCUGAAAAUGGAUGGCGCUGAAGCGUCGUGCUUAUACUCUGCCGCUGCCGGCAAGAGCGGUGUCCCCCCACUUCAUUGUGGGGGCCCAUGAAGCCGCAGCGAGUAGGAGGGUCGCGUCGGUGAGCGCAGAAGGGUCUGGGCGUGAGCCUGCCUGGAGCCGCCGACGGUGCAGAUCUUGGUGGUAGUAGCAAAUACUCCAGAGAGGCCCUGGAGGGCUGAUGUGGCAGAAGGGUUUCGUGUGAACAGCCGUUGCACACGAGUCAGUCGAUCCUAAGCCCUAGGGGAAACCCGAAGUCGAUGUGCGAGUCAGAAAAAGAAUUCAAUUGUUUUCAUUUCGACGACCGCCAUCGGGCGAAAGGGAAUCCGGUUCCUAUUCCGGAACCCAGGUCCGGAACCGUCACAAUGCGGGCCCUCAAAAAGCUCGACAGGGUAACCUAACAUGCCCCGGAGACGCCGUCGGGAGCCCCCGGGAGAGUUAUCUUUUCUGUAUAAGCGAGCGAAUCCCCUGGAAGCCUCUAGCAGGGAGAUAGGGGACGGCUCGCGAAGAGCACCGCACUUGCGGCGGUGUCGGGGGCGGCCUCUCGGACCUUGAAAAUCCGGGCGAGGGUCACGUGGACGACCGGCCUGGCUCGUACCCAUAUCCGCAGCAGGUCUCCAAGGUGAAGAGCCUCUAGUCGAUA
rnacentral:rRNA from 1 species